rnacentral:rRNA from 1 species
CCUACGGGAGGCUGCAGUAGGGAAUAUUGCUCAAUGGGGGAAACCCUGAAGCAGCAACGCCGCGUGGAGGAUGAAGGUUCUCGGAUUGUAAACUCCUUUUGUUAGAGAAGAUAAUGACGGUAUCUAACGAAUAAGUACCGGUUAACUCCGUGCCAGCAGCCGCGGUAAUAAGGGGGGUGCAAGCGUUACUCGGAAUCACGGGGCGUAAAGAGCGCGUAGGUGGGAUAGCAAGUCAGAUGGGAAAUCCUAGGGCUUAACCAUAGAACUGCAUUUGAAACUGUUAUUCUAGAGUAUGGGAGAGGUAGGUGGAAUUCGUGGUGUAGGGGUAAAAUGCAUAGAGAUCAAGAAGAAUACUCAUUGCGAAGGCGGCAUACUAGAACAUAACUGACGCUGAUGCACGAAAGCGUGGGGAGCGAACAGGAUUAGAUACCCGAGUAGUC